AAGUGUUUUGGUCUUUGGAAAUACUUUGAAAAAGUAUUUUGCAAACAGUUCAAAUAAGGAGGAGAACUAAAUCUGUUGUGGAUAGUUUCAGAAGAAUGUGUUUGAUCUGAAAAACAGAGGCCACAACUCGUGGUUUGUGGAAUAUCCCGCACAGCCAGUGUGGGGGAAAAAAAACGAAGCCAUGUCUGAACCCUUUGGGAAACAAGAUGGUGGUUUUUUUUUUGAGGUUUCAUAAGACCGUGCCCUACAGCACUUUGAGAAAGAUAGCACAAUAAUUUAUAAUUUCCUGUUCCGGAAUGAUGGCAAAGACUUAUCAUUUUCCCACGGAAAAUUCAGCUGAGAGAAAAAUGGAGCUAAAAGCGAGUAUUGUCCCUGCUGUGAAAGGCUUGAAUCGUGGAAGCAGGGAAGCACCAACUCUGCAGAGGACAGUUCUCCAAAGGCGGGAAAGAAAAAUGAAUCCUCUGGAACAAAUGGAGGAGGAAAGAACUGGAAAUAAAUGACGUUGAAUGACAUUCACCAAAAGGCAACUGAAGCCAAGUGCACACAUCUGGAUUUAGCAGAGAUUAAUUAAGACAACAUCACAUCUGGAAUUUUCCAUGCUUAGGGUGGUUCUAAAACAUCCAGAGGGACCAAAUGGUGACGAGGAAACUAUGUCUGUUGGAAAUACAAGACAGGAAGUGAAACCAAAGAAUUACUGAAAGGUAUCUACACCACUUCCAAAUCUGUGCUGAUUUUAUAAAUGAAGCUAAGAAGAAAAUCCCUAGUACUGAAUAUCUAAAAAAUCCUUGGAUAUCUGUUUAUCGAUGUGUGUUGUAAAAUGAACAUUGUAAAUGGUGAAGGGAGAUGAACUACUAAGGUGUAAGAAAAUGAAUGAAAAGCUCAUGAAAUUGUUAUAUUUGUACUGAAGUAGUAAGCUAAAACAUUUUAAAUCAAAGGUUAUGAAUUUUGAUAUCAGCAUAUGACUAUAUGAUAAAAGUAAUUUAAUUAAUCCUGAUUCUACCAGAUCAAAAUACUAAUACUGGAAUUCCAUAGAAGAGCUAAUGUUUGACUUUUGCACUUCCUACUUACAACAUUGUUAAACUCUAAAGGUCCGUUUUUGAGUUCUGCCAAAAUCCUGAAUGUCUUAUGACACUUUAUUACCUGGGACAAGAGCAAGCAGUACUGUGCCCGUCUUCAACCCCAGGAAUUACCCAACUGCUAUGAGGAAAUGGCUGGGUUGAAACGCGAUGAUCAGACUAUGCUGGCAUCUAUCAAAAUGCCUUAAACUAAAUGCCUGAAUCUAGAGAGCUCACGUUCCAGGAGCACCUAGGACCU